rnacentral:rRNA from 1 species
AUACGUAGGGGGCGAGCGUUGUCCGGAAUGAUUGGGCGUAAAGGGCGCGUAGGCGGCCCGGUAAGUCUGGAGUGAAAGUCCUGUUUUUAAGAUGGGAAUUGCUUUGGAUACUGUCGGGCUUGAGUGCAGGAGAGGUAAGUGGAAUUCCCAGUGUAGCGGUGAAAUGCGUAGAGAUUGGGAGGAACACCAGUGGCGAAGGCGACUUACUGGACUGUAACUGACGCUGAGGCGCGAAAGUGUGGGGAGCGAACAGGAUUAGAUACCCUGGUAGUCCACACUGUAAACGAUGAAUGCUAGGUGUAGGGGGUAUCGACCCCUUCUGUGCCGCAGUCAACACAAUAAGCAUUCCGCCUGGGGAGUACGGCCGCAAGGUUGAAACUCAAAGGAAUUGACGGGG